UACGAAGGGUGCAAGCGUUACUCGGAAUUACUGGGCGUAAAGCGUGCGUAGGUGGUUCGUUAAGUCUGAUGUGAAAGCCCUGGGCUCAACCUGGGAAUGGCAUUGGAAACUGGCGACCUAGAGUGCGGUAGAGGGUAGUGGAAUUCCCGGUGUAGCAGUGAAAUGCGUAGAGAUCGGGAGGAACAUCUGUGGCGAAGGCGACUGCCUGGACCAGCACUGACACUGAGGCACGAAAGCGUGGGGAGCAAACAGGG
rnacentral:rRNA from 1 species